rnacentral:lncRNA from 1 species
UCCCUAUGGGCUUGUAUAUUUGAAUAUUUGGUUCCCAGUUGAUGGGCCGUUUAGAAAGAAUCAGGACGAAUUCUUGUCGGAGGGAGUAUGUGACCAGAGGUGGACUUUGAGGCUUCAAAAACACAUCUUGCUCACUCUCUCUGCCUCUGUCUUGUGGGAAAACUUCAUCCCCUCGGAUGCCUGCAGUCAUACUGCCUGUCAGUCAUG